UCUGGCUCAGGAUUAACGCUGGCGGCGUGCCUAAUACAUGCAAGUCGAAUGGUAGCAAUACCAUGGCGAACGGGUGAGUAACACGUAGGUAACCUGUCUUUAAGCCGAGGAUAACCAUUGGAAACGAUGGAUAAUACUGGAUAGGACAUUUGAAGGCAUCUUUAGAUGUUUAAAGAUUUAUCACUUAGAGAGGGGCCUGCGGCGCAUUAGCUAGUUGGUGAGGUGAAGGCUUACCAAGGCGAUGAUGCGUAGCCGGACUGAGAGGUUGAACGGCCACAAUGGAACUGAGAACGGUCCAUACUCCUACGGGAGGCAGCAGUAGGGAAUUUUCGGCAAUGGGCGGAAGCCUGACCGAGCAACGCCGCGUGAACGAAGAAGUAUUUCGGUAUGUAAAGUCCUUUUAUUAGGGACGAAAAGACAGAUUGACGGUACCUAAUGAAUAAGCUCCGGCUAACUACGUGCCAGCCGCUGC
rnacentral:rRNA from 1 species